rnacentral:lncRNA from 1 species
GGGGGGGUCGGGGGUGAGCAAUGGGGUCCCAGGGCUGUGGGGUCCUGCUGCUGCAGCCGCUCUGUGGGGCAGGGAUGAGGGGGUCACAGGUCAUGGGGUCACAGGUCAGGGGUCGUAGGUCAUGGGGUCACUGGGUGAGCAGUGGGGUCCCAGGGCUGCGCAGUCCUGCUGCUGCAGCUGCUCUGUGGGGUCAGAGGUCACGGGGUCAUAGGUCACAGGGUGAGCACAGGGGUGCCAGGGCUGUGGGGUCCUGCUGCUGCAGCCGCUCUAUGGGGCAGGGGUCAGGGGUCAUGGGGUCAGAGGUCACAGGGUGAGCACAGGGGUCCCAGGGUUAUGCGGUCCUGCUGCUGCAGCCGCUCUAUGGGGUCAGAGGUCAGGGGUCAUGGGGUCAGGGGGGCACGGGGUGAGCAGUGGGGUCACAGGGUCAUGGGGAUGUGGGGUGAGGGUGCCAGGGCUGUGGGGUCCCGCUGCUGCAGCCGCUCUAUGGGGCAGGGGUGAAGGGUCAGGGGUCAUGGGGUGAGCAGUGGGGUCACAGAGACGUGGGGUGAUGGGAACGCAGUGAGGGAUAUGGGCUGUGGGGUGGGGUCACGGGGUCAGGAGGUCAUGGGGUCACGGGGUCAGGAGGUCACGGGGUCAGGAGGUCGCGGGGUCGCGGGCGCCCACCCCUCAGUUUGCGCAGUGACGCCUCCACCUCCGUCUCAAUCAGCGGGAAGUCCUGCCGGCUGGGGCACCUGCGGGCACCCCAUAGCGCCCCAUAGCACCCCAUAGCGCCCCAUAGUGCCCCACAGUGCCCCAUAGCACCCCACAGAGCCCCACAGUGCCCCACAGCACCCUAUAGCGCCCCACAGCACCCCAUAGCGCCCCACAGUGCCCCAUAGCAUCCCACA